rnacentral:rRNA from 1 species
AUUGAACGCUGGCGGCAGGCCUAACACAUGCAAGUCGAGCGGAGCGGCGGACGGGUGAGUAAGGCCUAGGAAUCUGCCUGUUCGUGGGGGAUAAAGUCCAGGAACGGGCGCUAAUACCGCAUAAUAUCAGAGGAGACUAGGGCGGAUUAGCUAGUGGGUGGGGAAAAGGCCUACCAAGGCGACGAUCCGUAACCGGUCUGAGAGGAUGAUCAGUCACACUGGAACUGAGAAACGGUCCAGACUCCUACGGGAUGCAGCAGUGGGUAAUAUUGUACAAUGGGCGAAAGCCUGAUCCAGCCAUGCCGCGUGUGUGAAGAAGGUCUUCGGAUUGUAAAGCACUUUAAGUUGGGAGGCGUUACCAACAGAAGAAGCACCGGCUAACUUCGUGCCAGCAGCCGCGGUAAUUC